AACGUUCUGAAGACAAGGUACCUACAGACAGAGUUCCAGAGGCCUAAAGAUUCGCGUUCGCGGGAUACAGCUGCUGUUUCAUCGGUGGAUCUUUAGAGACAUUAUCAGUGUUAAUCUCAUACUUGUGUUUGUGAAAUUCUUUUGGAUUUGUUCGAAUAUAGUUAUCUGAAGAUUUUGUUCACCAUCUUGAUAGUCUUAUUUAAAAAACCCUUCUUUGGGUAUGUUAUCAAUUACUUAUAUUAUAUUUAGUAUAAACUUAAGGCCUGUUUAAUAUGUUUAAUUUAAUUAGUGAUGUAUUUUAGUGUAUAAAUUAUUGAUAUAUUUCAUUGAGUACCAAUAUGCAUGCCUUACUAUUAUUUUAUUGUACUCAACUGUUACUGUGAUAUGUAUAUUAAUUUUAACGUAUAUAUAUUUCAGGGUUUUUAAUAAAGGUUUAAAAACUAA